rnacentral:rRNA from 1 species
AUUGAACGCUGGCGGCAGGCUUAACACAUGCAAGUCGAGCGGAGCGAGGGUGCUUGCACCUUAGCUUAGCGGCGGACGGGUGAGUAAUGCUUAGGAAUCUGCCUAUUAGUGGGGGACAACAUUCCGAAAGGGAUGCUAAUACCGCAUACGCCCUACGGGGGAAAGCAGGGGAUCUUCGGACCUUGCGCUAAUAGAUGAGCCUAAGUCGGAUUAGCUAGUUGGUGGGGUAAAGGCCUACCAAGGCGACGAUCUGUAGCGGGUCUGAGAGGAUGAUCCGCCACACUGGGACUGAUACAAGGCCCAGACUCCUACGGGAGGCAGCAGUGGGGAAUAUUGGACAAUGGGCGGAAGCCUGAUCCAGCCAUGCCGCGUGUGUGAAGAAGGCCUUUUGGUUGUAAAGCACUUUAAGCGAGGAGGAGGCUACUAGUAUUAAUACUACUGGAUAGUGGACGUUACUCGCAGAAUAAGCACCGGCUAACUCUGUGCCAGCCGCCGCCGUAACAC